rnacentral:rRNA from 1 species
GACAGAGGAUGCAAGCGUUAUCCGGAAUGAUUGGGCGUAAAGGCGUCUGUAGGUGGCUUUUUAAGUCCGCCGUCAAAUCCCAGGCUCAACCCUGGACAGGCGGUGGAAACUACCAAGCUGGAGUACGGUAGGGGCAGAGGGAAUUUCCGGUGGAGCGGUGAAAUGCGUAGAGAUCGGAAAGACACCAACGGCGAAAGCAACUCUGCUGGGCCGACACUGACACUGGAGAGACGAAAGCUAGGGGAGCGAAUGGG